GUGCUCACUUCUGUAGGACAUAUACUAAAAUUGGAAUGAUACACAGAAGAUUAACUUUGCUCCUAUGCAAGGAUGACAUGCAAAUUCAUGAAGUGUUCCAUAUUUUU
ensembl:snRNA U6 U6 spliceosomal RNA